rnacentral:rRNA from 1 species
AUUGAACGCUGGCGGCAUGCCUUACACAUGCAAGUCGAACGGUAACAGGUCUUCGGAUGCUGACGAGUGGCGAACGGGUGAGUAAUACAUCGGAACGUGCCCGAGAGUGGGGGAUAACGAGGCGAAAGCUUUGCUAAUACCGCAUACGAUCUCAGGAUGAAAGCAGGGGACCGCAAGGCCUUGCGCUCACGGAGCGGCCGAUGGCAGAUUAGGUAGGUGGUGGGAUAAAAGCUUACCAAGCCGAAGAUCUGUAGCUGGUCUGAGAGGACGACCAGCCACACUGGGACUGAGAAACGGCCCAGACUCCUACGGGAGGCAGCAGUGGGGAAGUUUGGACAAGGGGCGCAAGCCUGAUCCAGCCAUGCCGCGUGCAGGAUGAAGGCCUUCGGGUUGUAAACUGCUUUUGUACGGAACGAAAAGACUCUGGUUAAUACCUGGGGUCCAUGACGGUACCGUAAGAAUAAGCACCGGCUAACUACGUGCCAGCCGCCGCCGUAACAC